GCGGUACUGGCGGCGGUUUGCCGUGCGGCACUGCGGAUUCCGUCGAGGUCCCAGGCGGCCUCCGGCUGUUCGGGACGCAGCGGCACCGGG
rnacentral:tRNA from 1 species